rnacentral:rRNA from 2 species
UGCAUGUCUAAGUAUAAGCAAUUAUACGGCGAAACUGCGAAUGGCUCAUUAUAUAAGUUAUCGUUUAUUUGAUAAUACUUUACUACUUGGAUAACCGUGGUAAUUCUAGAGCUAAUACAUGCUAAAAAUCCCGACUUCGGAAGGGUUGUAUUUAUUAGAUUAAAAACCAAUGCCCUCUGGGCUCUCUGGUGAAUCAUAAUAACUUGUCGAAUCGCAAGGCCUUGUGCCGGCGAUGGCUCAUUCAAAUUUCUUCCCUAUCAACUUUCGAUGUUUGGGUAUUGGCCAAACAUGGUGGCAACGGGUAACGGAGGGUUAGGGCUCGACCCCGGAGAAGGAGCCUGAGAAACGGCUACUACAUCCAAGGAAGGCAGCAGGCGCGCAAAUUACCCAAUCCCGACACGGGGAGGUAGUGACAAUAAAUACUGAUACAGGGCUCUUAUGGGUCUUGUAAUCGGAAUGAGUACAAUUUAAAUCCCUUAACGAGGAACAAUUGGAGGGCAAGUCUGGUGCCAGCAGCCGCGGUAAUUCCAGCUCCAAUAGCGUAUAUUAAAGUUGUUGUGGUUAAAAAGCUCGUAGUUGAACCUUGGGCCUGGCUGGCCGGUCCGCCUCACCGCGUGCACUGGUCCGGCCGGGCCUUUCCCUCUGUGGAACCUCAUGCCCUUCACUGGGUGUGACGGGGAAACAGGACUUUUACUUUGAAAAAAUUAGAGUGCUCCAGGCAGGCCUAUGCUCGAAUACAUUAGCAUGGAAUAAUAAAAUAGGACGUGUGGUUCUAUUUUGUUGGUUUCUAGGACCGCCGUAAUGAUUAAUAGGGACAGUCGGGGGCAUCAGUAUUCAAUUGUCAGAGGUGAAAUUCUUGGAUUUAUUGAAGACUAACUACUGCGAAAGCAUUUGCCAAGGAUGUUUUCAUUAAUCAGGAACGAAAGUUAGGGGAUCGAAGACGAUCAGAUACCGUCGUAGUCUUAACCAUAAACUAUGCCGACUAGGGAUCGGACGAUGUUAUAUUCUUGACGCGUUCGGCACCUUACGAGAAAUCAAAGUGCUUGGGCUCCAGGGGGAGUAUGGUCGCAAGGCUGAAACUUAAAGAAAUGACGGAAGG